GGGGCCGGGCUGCGGCUUCCCCUGGGAAAUGCCGAGUCGGCUCGGGACGUCUCUCCCGGCAGCACCAGCCCGCGGCGGGGAUGGGGGAUGGGACCUCAGCAAGUCUGCUCCAGCCUGGCCGUGGUUCCCAGAUUCCUGGCUUGGGCCCCAGGCCGCGGUGAGGUUAGUUUGCGGCUGGAAAACUUGAAAGGCGCAGGCAAGAUACGGAGUCCUGCACGCCAAGCUGCCUUUCGCGGCGGCUCACGGUGGAUCAGGUGCUGCGGAGCGUCUAAUUAGCAGCCCGUCACGUGGACUGCGUGAAGCUCCUUCACUCGGGUGUCUCCCGUAGUGCUCCGCGGUCAGAGUGGAUGUGAAGUGGAUGAAGCCCCUCUAAUUACUCUAAUAAACAUGCCUACAACUCCCCGGAGAUGAGACUGGAUGGAGUUCUGAGUCUAUGGAAGGAAGCAACUGCACUCCUUGAGGUGGCUACUGACUCUUGUCCACCCACCCACCUUUCCUACUCCAGGCUUUCCAUCCCUUCCUCCCCUCCCCACCCCCACUUCCAGGCCGACUUUACACACCCUAGAAGAAUGUCCCUUAGGAAUCUGUUUAGUUCCACAGCAUUGUUCUGCUUUAUCUUCUCAUCAAAGGAGGAAUUUGUAGAAUUGGCAGCUCUUACCCAAGAUUAAAGGGGGAGGGGAAAACGAUUUAUCUCAGCUGGUUUCCUUGCUUCUGCUCCAGAACUGAGUGUGCCUUCAGAAAGAAGGAAGAGGGCUUGAGAGAACACUGUGUCUUGAGGGAAGAUUAACUACUUGACUUUUUUUCAAUCUUUUUUGUAUUUUUUCUUAUGAGAAAUAUUCUUUCUCGGUCCCAGCAGCAGAGAG